GCUGUGAUGGCUGAGUGGUUAAGGCAUUGGGACUUGAAAUCCAAUGGGUUUUCCUCUUGCAGGUUCAAAUCCUGCUCACAGCG